GCACCACGUCCACCAGGAAAAGCAGCAGAGACAGCACCGACAACAAGACGUCUGAGAGCAGUAAAUUAAAAGGAAAUCCUUCCUCCAUGGCAAGACCUCGACUGUUUCCUGAGAAGCCAAGCGCAGCUUUGGGGUUUAUCUCUGCUAUAUAAAAAGCGCAAACCUGAGGAAGACUCCGAGCUGGCAGAUGUGCACCGGAGCCAGUAAACCGUGUCUGCUGACGAAUCUCUCCACUUUGGUCUCCAGGGUUAUGGAGGAAUCGGAGUACCAGAGCCAGCUGAAGAUAUGCAGGACAACCGAGGAACCGAGCAGAAGAGAGAUCAACAGUCCCAUGGAGAAGUAUUUCCUUUCUUCAUAAAGGCACUCUACGGCCCACAGGUCCAGCACCACGUCCGCCAGGAAAAAGAGCAGCGACAGCCCCGAAAACAAGACGUUUAAGAGCACUACACUGAAUGGAAAUCCUUCCUCCAUGGCACGAGCUCGGAUGUUUUCUGAGUAUUCAAGCACGAGCUUGGGAACAUGAAAUGAAAACCAAUCCAGUUUUUAAUUAUACCUGAGGCUGCCUGAGAGACACCUCCCUCUAUUGCGUAACAUCGCCGUGAUUGUUGAGAAUGAAUCAUGCGGUGGGGGGGGGGGGGGGGGGGGGGGUGGCGUCUGGGAGGGGGUGUCACAAGGUAAAAGAACUGACACACAUUAAAUACACACAACAACCAGACUAUAUUAUAUAUAACCAGACUAUGAAACUAUAUAUUGGCAUACAUACUCGAGAGUGUACACAUGCAUUACUUUUUAAAUAAUCUAGGAUUGAACAGCAGUAAAACUGGAAAAUCACAUUCAUAGGUCCCGCCCACCUCCAGGAGAGGAAUGUGCACGCCGAUGGACGCGACAAAGGGAACAAGACAGAGCAGGAACUAUUUUGACUACCCCAUUAUCUUUUCCCCCACACUGCUGCUGAACGCUCAAACUGGUCAGAAGGUGUUUUUCCUAUAACUGCAGCUCUGACUAGUUUUGGCUGUAAUUCCACUCUAAGGUUAAAAAUAAAUGGCGUUUAAAACGUGGUGUUGUUUUGCACAGAAAA